CUGGCCAGCAAUCAGAUGGCUUCACAAAGUAGGAUGGAAUAAGAAAAACAAGAGAAGAUCCCAAUGAAUGGCCUGUAUUCCAGGGUGCCCUUCCUGGAAGCCUGAAAUAAGAAGGCACUUCCUGGAAAAAAAACUGUCUUUUGAGUAGAUUCCUAAACACUAACUGAUACCUAUUUUUGAGUAGGCAUUCUCAUGCAGAUGUGUCUCUAAGAAUCAAAACAAGGUGGGAUCAGAGUCAGUCUAGCAAAUAAGUUGGGGGGGGGGGGGGGGGAGAGAGAAAAUGAACAAGUUAGACAAGCCAGCCAGAAGCACACAGGUGCCUCCAGUCAUGUGGGACAGCCAAGAACACAGUUAAGCCAAAGCAUCAGCUUCUGCAGUCUAAAAUAAUCAAGUCAAAUUGAGCAGCAGGUAAUUUCAUCUUUAUAAACUGGGUUUAACUUUAAUUUUAGUGCAUUUAUGUCCAACAUAUAUGUUUAUACAGACCCAGCCAACAAAACAAAGACUUAUUUUUCUCCCUUAAAAGACAUGAUAUCGUGAAUAAAAAAAAAAACUAUAACUUUUAUAGAACAUCUUCAUAAGAAAGAGUUCUCGUGGCUGAAAGGCAUCCUGACUGCGUCUCUGGAUAGUCAGAACCACUCUGUGAGGCAGCUGUGGUUACAAGUUCUUUACUCACAGCUGAGGACCCUGGAUAGUAAGGACCACCAAGGCUAAUCAGUGAGCCUAUGUGAUUGGAAACUGAGGCCACAUUUGGAGCCUAUACUCUUUCCACCCUCCCAGAAGGAGAUGAUCCUCAAGAAAGGCCACAAGAAUGUGUUGUUCCUCUGUAUUCAUUAAUUCAACAAAUAUUUAUUGAGUACCUACCAUUUUCCUGGAUCAGGAGCCAGAAACCAAGAAGGAAAAUCAAAUAGAUGGGAUUCUUUUUUUUGCAAAGCCAGUUAGCCUUUCUUGAGGAGCAGGAGCAUAUGUAGUGAAGCCUCCUCUCAAGUGACCGUGCAGGACAGGUUGUGACUGUUCCAGACUCCCAGCACUCAGACGGAAAAGGACAGUGACCUGAUUCAUUACAACAUUCCUUCCGAUAAUGGCAAGGAUACUUCCAGAAACAUCUGGAACUCAGGACAUGGAGUGCUGGCUAUGUACAGCCCCUGGGUGUAGUGCCUUCACAGUGGAUUUACUUCUUCUUUGCACUCAUCCCAUGCACCAGGCUUUGUUGUUAUCCCCAUUUUACAGGUGAGAAAAAAUGAGGUUGAGAGAAAUUAUAAACAUCCCACAGGUCUCACAGGGUAGAGCCUAGCUUCGGAUUUAUGUCUUGCAAGAGGGGGAUUAAAUAAUUUUUAU
rnacentral:lncRNA from 1 species